UACGGAGGGUGCGAGCGUUGUCCGGAAUCACUGGGCGUAAAGGGCGCGUAGGCGGCCCGAUAAGUAGGGGGUGAAAUCCUGCGGCUUAACCGCAGGGCUGCCUUCUAAACUGUCAGGCUAGAGCACGGUAGAGGCAGAUGGAAUUCCCGGUGUAGCGGUGGAAUGCGUAGAGAUCGGGAAGAACAUCAGUGGCGAAGGCGGUCUGCUGGGCCGUUGCUGACGCUGAGGCGCGACAGCGUGGGGAGCAAACAGG
rnacentral:rRNA from 1 species